CGAGGGGCAGCGCAGUGUAGCAAUACAUGGGCGGCGACCGGCAAACGGGUGCGGAACACGUACGCAACCUUCCCAAAACUGGUGAAUAGCCUUUCGAAAGAGAGAUUAAUACACCGUAACUUAAUGAAGUGGCAUCACUUUAUUAGUAUAGCUCCGGCGGUUUUGGAUGGGCGUGCGCCUGAUUAGGUAGUUGGCGGAGUAAUAGCCCACCAAGCCUACGAUCAGUAACUGGUGUGAGAGCACGACCAGUCACACGGGCACUGAGACACGGGCCCGACUCCUACGGGAGGCAGCAGUAAGGAAUAUUGGUCAAUGGACGCAAGUCUGAACCAGCCAUGCCGCGUGGAGGAUGAAGGUCCUCUGGAUUGUAAACUUCUUUUAUCGGAGAAGAAACCCUUGCAUUCUUGCGAGGUUGACGGUACCCGAUGAAUAAGCACCGGCUAACUCCGUGCCAGCAGCCGCGGUAAUACGGAGGGUGCAAGCGUUAUCCGGAUUCACUGGGUUUAAAGGGUGCGUAGGUGGGCUAGUAAGUCCGUGGUGAAAUCUCCAAGCUUAACUUGGAAACUGCCGUGGAUACUAUUAGUCUUGAAUAUUGUGGAGGUAAGCGGAAUAUGUCAUGUAGCGGUGAGAUGCUUAGAUAUGACAUAGAACACCGAUGGCGAAGGCAGCUUGCUACACAAUUAUUGACACUGAGGCACGAAAGCGUGGGGGAUCAAACAGGAUUAGAUACCCUGGUAGUCCACGCCCUAAACGAUGAUUACUCGACAUACGCGAUACACAGUGUGUGUCUGAGCGAAAGCAUUAAGUAAUCCACCUGGGAAGUACGAUCGCAAGAUUGA
rnacentral:rRNA from 1 species